rnacentral:lncRNA from 1 species
GUAAUUAGAGUUUAAUUGUUGGUACUUUUGUUUAAACUGGAUCAUGUAUUUGAAUAUUAAGAAGUUUUUCUGAAUGAUGAUCAAUCAAUUUUGUGGGUCAAAAAAAAAAAAAAAAUUUUGGGUCAAACUUUCACUUGGUUACAAUUAAUUUAGUUAAUAUAUUAUACUCCAUAUUCUGCUUUGUAUGUUAAUGUAAUUAUAUCUCCAUUGCGUGUGGGUGUAGUUCUUUUGAGUUAUAUAUUUCUCCCUUGGCAGUUACCUAUAUGUAACCUGGUGAUCCCUUAACAAUUUUACUAGAUUCUGACCCG